rnacentral:rRNA from 1 species
AUUGAACGCUGGCGGCAUGCUUUACACAUGCAAGUCGAACGGUAACAGGCCUUCGGGUGCUGACGAGUGGCGAACGGGUGCGUAAUGCAUCGGAACGUACCCAGAGGUGGGGGAUAACGCAGCGAAAGCUGUGCUAAUACCGCAUGUGAUCUGAGGAUGAAAGCGGGGGACCGAGCAGCAAUGUUUGGCCUCGCGCCUUUGGAGCGGCCGAUGUCGGAUUAGCUAGUUGGUGGGGUAAAGGCCUACCAAGGCGACGAUCCGUAGCUGGUCUGAGAGGACGACCAGCCACACUGGGACUGAGACACGGCCCAGACUCCUAAGGGAGGCAGCAGUGGGGAAUUUUGGACAAUGGGCGCAAGCCUGAUCCAGCAAUGCCGCGUGCGGGAAGAAGGCCUUCGGGUUGUAAACCGCUUUUGGCAGGAACGAAACGGUGUCCGCUAAUACCGGGCGCUAAUGACGGUACCUGCAGAAUAAGCACCGGCUAACUACGUG